GUGAGGAAUAUUGGUCAAUGGACGGAAGUCUGAACCAGCCAAGUAGCGUGCAGGAUGACUGCCCUAUGGGUUGUAAACUGCUUUUAUACGGGGAUAAAGUCAGGGUCGUGACCCUGUUUGCAGGUACCGUAUGAAUAAGGACCGGCUAAUUCCGUGCCAGCAGCCGCGGUAAUACGGAAGGUCCAGGCGUUAUCCGGAUUUAUUGGGUUUAAAGGGAGCGUAGGCCGGAGAUUAAGUGUGUUGUGAAAUGUAGAUGCUCAACAUCUGCACUGCAGCGCAUACUGGUUUCCUUGAGUACACGCAACGUUGGCGGAAUUCGUCGUGUAGCGGUGAAAUGCUUAGAUAUGACGAAGAACUCCGAUUGCGAAGGCAGCUGACGGGAGUGCAACUGACGCUGAAGCUCGAAAGUGCGGGUAUCGAACAGG
rnacentral:rRNA from 1 species